rnacentral:rRNA from 1 species
GACGAACGCUGGCGGCGUGCUUAACACAUGCAAGUCGAACGGAAAGGCCCUGCUUUUGUGGGGUGCUCGAGUGGCGAACGGGUGAGUAACACGUGAGUAACCUGCCCUGGACUUUGGGAUAACUUCAGGAAACUGGGGCUAAUACCGGAUAGGAGCUCCUGCUGCAUGUUGGGGGUUGGAAAGUUUCGGCGGGUGGGGAUGGACUCGCGGCUUAUCAGCUUGUUGGUGGGGUAGUGGCUUACCAAGGCUUUGACGGGUAGCCGGCCUGAGAGGGUGACCGGCCACAUUGGGACUGAGCUACGGCCCAGACUCCUACGGGAGGCAGCAGUGGGGAAUAUUGCACAAUGGGCGGAAGCCUGAUGCAGCAACGCCGCGUGCGGGAUGACGGCCUUCGGGUUGUAAACCGCUUUCGCCUGUGACGAAGCGUGAGUGACGGUAAUGGGUAAAGAAGCACCGGCUAACUACGUG